ACACACGAAACCCUAAUGCGAAGCCGUCAUUCUCCCUUCUCCCUUCUCCUCCUUUCCUUCCCUCCUUGCACCAGCAGCCGUCCUCCCCGCAGCCGCAUCUCUUCUUCCUCCAAACCGGCAGCAACAGCCGGCUUUUCUUUCCCCACGCAAGCAGCAGCCACAGCACACUCUCCUCCUCCCUCGCUGUGUCUCGCCAGCAGCAGCCACGAUCGCUGCCUUCUCCACAAUCGCCAGCAGCCGCCACGGUCUAGACGCGUGGUGUUAACCGUCUAGUCUUCACUCCUUUCUAAUUACCCCAUUGUUCCCAGUUUAUAAGAGGAAAGUAGACCCCUUAGUUGGGCGAUUUUUGUAACUUGUGGUCGUGCAUUGACGCUUGCAGCAGGAGGAUCAUAGCUUGGCAUGUCAGGUAUAGGAGCUUCUUUUGCUUUGCGUUGGGGAAAGAGCGGAGUACGAUCGUAACAAUUGUGUAUAAAUCGUCUUAAUGCUUGUAGCUUCCAUGAUACUUGUAAAGUUUUCUUUUGGGGUUGUAAAAUUUCUUUUGUAUGGAGCCAUGUGACUCCUCGUAUGAUCCAUAGAUCCGCUGCGUAGUUUUAGAUGUACAGUAGGGAGAAUACUUCUUUAGUAUCCGUCAGAUCGAUGCGUUAACACUGGAACCACGAUCCUCGUUAGAGUUGAAGUUUUGUGAAGCCGACGAUGAUUUGUUCCGUCGUGACGUAUUCUUUUGAAAGGCGUUAUAGGCCUUAGAUUAGUUUAAUCAUGCUAAUCAAUUAUAACUACAUAUAUUCUAUUCACAUCCUCAGUUUUCAGUAGAGAUGCUGUCGAAAUUCCGCUCACUCACCCUUUUUAAUUAAUCCUUAGCGUUUAUGUUAAGUAUUUUCUCUUCUUUUCUUUUUAUGUAACACCCGAAUUUCCUCCCUUCCUUCACGAUUCUGGUUACGUUUAAGGGGUUGGAAAUUCAGGGGUGUUACAAUUGCGUUUUUCAGGUUUUUUAAGUGUUUUGGCACUAACAUCUAUUAUCUCUUAGUGCUUUCGAGUUUCGACAAGAUAAUAGUAUUGAUUGCAACUACUACACUCUCAAAUUUAUGGACGAUCUCUUACAAGCUGUGAAGAAUGUUGGAGUCGAAAAUAUUGAUGUGGUAUAUAUAUAUGUUACGUUCUUAAAUUAUAAUAUUAUAUAUUUAAGGAAAAAUUAUAAGAAACUACCUAAUCUCUAUAGGUUUAUUUGUAAAAACUACCUUAUGUAUUUUUUUUUUUGCAAAAACCUAACUAAUCUGAUAUAUUUCUCUGUAAAUGACAACCACUUAACGGACAACGUUAGUUGACCGUUAAGUUUGAGGGUUUGAUCAAUUUAAGAGGUUAAAUUGUCUAUGUGGCAGGAUCUCAUUGGUUCUCGUUUUUUAAAUAAUUAAAAUUAAAAUACAUAAUUUAACAAUAUAAAAGAUUUUUGACGUCAUUUUUACCCAUCAUAACGAUUUUUUUCUAAAAAAUGGACGCCGUUAUUAGUCAUCUUAUGGAGUAACUCGUUCGAAAAUCCGGUUGAAACAAGUACUUAUUCGCCUAUUUUCCUAUACGUAAACCGAAAAUGAUAUUUGACGUCAUUUUUACCCAUCAUAACGAUUUUUUUCAAACAAUGGAGGUCGCGAUUAUCCUUAUGGGAUAACUCUUUCGAAAAUCUGGUCGAAACAAGUACUUAUUCGCCUAUUUCCCGACUCAUAAACCGAAAAAGAAAUUUAAAGUCAUUUUUACCGAUCAUAAUGAUGAUUUUUCAAAAUCCGGACCUCGCAAUUAUUCUUAUGGAUAACUCUUUCGA